rnacentral:rRNA from 1 species
GGAAUCUUCCGCAAUGGACGAAAGUCUGACGGAGCAACGCCGCGUUAGUGAUGAAGGCCUUCGGGUCGUAAAACUCUGUUGUUCGGGAAGACCAAGUCCCGUUCGACUAGGGCGGUACCUUGACGGUACCUAACCAGAAAGCCCCGGCUAACUACGUGCCAGCAGCCGCGGUAAUACGUAGGUGGCAAGCGUUGUCCGGAAUUAUUGGGCGUAAAGCGCGCGCAGGUGGUCCUUUAAGUCUGAUGUGAAAGCCCACGGCUCAACCGUGGAGGGUCAUUGGAAACUGGGGGACUUGAGUACAGAAGAGGAAAGUGGAAUUCCACGUGUAGCGGUGAAAUGCGUAGAGAUGUGGAGGAACACCAGUGGCGAAGGCGACUUUCUGGUCUGUAACUGACACUGAGGCGCGAAAGCGUGGGGAGCGAAC